rnacentral:rRNA from 1 species
GCUAAAUACUCUCUAGUGACCGAUAGUGAACCAGUACCGUGAGGGACAGGUGAACAGUACCCCGGAAGGGGAGUGAAAUAGAUCUUGAAACCGUGUGCUUACAAGUAGUCAGAGCCUGUUAAUGGGUGAUGGCGUGCCUUUUGUAGAAUGAACCGGCGAGUUACGAUUUGAUGCAAGGUUAAGCAGUAAAUGUGGAGCCGUAGCGAAAGCGAGUCUGAAUAGGGCGUUGAGUAUUUGGUCGUAGACCCGAAACCAGGUGAUCUACCCAUGACCAGGCUGAAGUUCAGGUAACACUGAAUGGAGGGCCGAACCGACUGAUGUUGAAAAGUGAGCGGAUGAGUUGUGGGCAGCGGAGAAAUUCCAAUCGAACCUGGAGAUAGCUGGUUCUCUUCGAAAUAGCUUUAGGGCUAGCCUCAAGUGAUGAUUAUUGGAGGUAGAGCACUGUUUGGACGAGGGGCCCUUAUCGGGUUACCGAAUUCAGACAAACUCCGAAUGCCAAUCAAUUUAACUUGGGAGUCAGAACGCGGGUGAUAAGGUCCGUGUUCGAGAGGGAAACAGCCCAGACCACCAGCUAAGGUCCCAAAAUCUAUGUUAAGUGGAAAAGGAUGUGGCGUUGCCCAGACAACUAGGAUGUUGGCUUAGAAGCAGCCAUCAUUUAAAGAGUGCGUAAUAGCUCACUAGUCGAGUGACACUGCGCCGAAAAUGUACCGGGGCUAAACAUAUUACCGAAGCUGUGGAUUGUCCGUAGGACAAUGGUAGGAGAGCGUUCUACGGGCGUUGAAGCAUGAUCGCAAGGCCAUGUGGAGCGCUUCGAAGUGAGAAUGCCGGUGUGAGUAGCGAAAGACGGGUGAGAAUCCCGUCCACCGAUUGACUAAGGUUUCCAGAGGCUGGCUCGUCCGCUCUGG